rnacentral:rRNA from 1 species
GAUGAGCGCUGGCGGCGUGCCUAAUACAUGCAAGUCGAGCGAACAGACGAGGAGCUUGCUCCUCUGACGUUAGCGGCGGACGGGUGAGUAACACGUGGAUAACCUACCUAUAAGACUGGGAUAACUUCGGGAAACCGGAGCUAAUACCGGAUAAGAUAUUGAACCGCAUGGUUCAAUAGUGAAAGACGGUUUUGCUGUCACUUAUAGAUGGAUCCGCGCCGCAUUAGCUAGUUGGUAAGGUAACGGCUUGCCAAGGCAACGAUGCGUAGCCGACCUGAGAGGGUGAUCGGCCACACUGGAACUGAGACACGGUCCAGACUCCUACGGGAGGCAGCAGUAGGGAAUCUUCCGCAAUGGGCGAAAGCUUGACGGAGCAACGCCGCGUGAGUGAUGAAGGUCUUCGGAUCGUAAAACUCUGUUAUUAGGGAAGAACAAAUGUGUAAGUAACUAUGCACGUCUUGACGGUACCUACUCAGAAAGCCACGGCUAACUACGUG